UGCAGGGACCAGCAGCAAUGCUUGGGCCAUACAGUCCUUCUGUGUCUGUACUUCAAUCACCAAUUCCAGGCUGGCAUUCCCCACACUGGUGUAGGUGUUGUACAACUAAGGGCACCAAGACUGACCCACAGGAGAGACUCGGACAGAGACCCCUUUGACCUGGGAUUUGGAGUGUAAAUCCACUUCUGGCACCUAGCUGUGCAGGAAGGGAAUGCUCCCAUAUGCUUUAUACUGUGAGAACUGCUCAAAGAAAGUACAGGGAAUAUUUUUUGCUUGUGGUGUAAUUUGACACAUGAUAUGCCACAGCAAGUUUCUAGGGCAAAGAAUGCUAUCCUAGUAUGCAUCUGAUAUAAUUAAGGAUGUAUGACUUAAUUACCAGCAAAUGGCAGCAGCCUGAACUGAUACCACUGGAGUGAGAUACAACAUUGUGGCUUUGCUUUCCAUCUAGGGUAUUGCAGUAUGUGCUAAAAAUACUGUUGAGCACAUGGAAAUACAGAGUGUUAUCACAUACGGGGGGGAAGAAGGAAUGUCAGACCCAUUAGAAGCAACCAUAGAAGAGGGACAACUUAGCACUGAAUGUCCUGAGGUAAGGCAUUUUAAGUUGCCAGCAAGAUAAGAUGGGACUUAGUUGCCAUUCCUUAUCCCUCCCUCCAUUUGUCCCUCACAGGAUGAGAAAACAAUCUAUUUGGAAGCAACUCAUAAGUAAAAAAAAAGCAUACAGGACUCCGAGUUUAGCACGUGCAGAAUAGAGCACGUGUAAAUACAUCCAGAACAGGUGCACGGAGGGACGAUGCAACUGUCUGCUCAUUCUGCCUGCAGGAGGUACAUGGUGCUGCAGAACUACGAGGUUGGUGGAUCCAGAAAAUGGGACCUGGUGAAUUCCAUACCGAAGUGUUGUCAGUAUCUGAUGCACACAAGAGGAAGUGGAUGGAAGUCAAUGGAAGUCGUUUGUCCUGCCCAUGAGAGGUGACACUCCAGAAUACUCCUUUGUGCCUGUUCUACUCGG